rnacentral:lncRNA from 1 species
UAGAUUUUGACCCGCGCUUUCAAAGCGCGGAUUUAUUUUUGUUUUUUUUUUCAAUUGACAAAUAUUUAGUAAAUGUCACAUUUUCAUAUAUUUGUGUUUUAUUUUGUAAAAGACUUAAAAAUUUUAUCUUUAUUUAUCGUAUUGCAUUUUAAAUGACUAUUUAUGUUAAAAAAAUUAAAUUUUAUUUUUUAAUGAAUUAAGUUGGUAUAACUCUGAUAAAUUAAUUUUAUUAUGGGGUUAAUAUUUUAAUUAAAAAAUUAUAUACUUUUAAUAAAGAUUUAUACUUUUCAAUAAAAUAAUUCAAUUAUUUUUAUGAAUGCUUAAAUUAUAUUAAGAAAAAAAAAAUAAUUAAGAAUAGUUGAAAAAAAUUAUUUGAACUUAGACUCAAUGACCCAAAAGAAAAAAAAAAUGAGAAUUGAAUCUGAUUUUUUAAUAGGCUCAAAUGGCCCAAGAGAGAUUUGAUUUGGGCUGGAUCCAAAAAUAAUGACCCAAUAUAAAUUUGUUAUUAAUAUUACUUAAUUGCCCUUAAUGAAACAUGCAAUGUUAGUGAAAGAAACAUGCCCCUAAGGUAAUUAUGACAAUAGGAUCCUGCUUUAAUAGUAUAGAUAUAAAGGGUUAGGGCCAAUCCACUAAUUGCCAAUUGGUUUUGAGUUGGAAGCCCAUAAUAAACCCAAAUCUAACAAAAACAUAAUCAAGAAGACGUCAAGCAAAAGAUAACAAAAACAGUUGUUCUUUCCCACUCAUUGUCACAUGAGUUUUCUCAUGCAUGCAGAGACCUUGCAUGUACAGC